rnacentral:rRNA from 1 species
UACGUAGGGUGCGAGCGUUGUCCGGAAUUACUGGGCGUAAAGAGCUCGUAGGCGGCCAACUAAGUCGGAUGUGAAAUCCCCAGGCUUAACCUGGGAACUGCAUCCGAUACUGGAUGGCUUGAAUCCGGGAGAGGGAUGCAGAAUUCCAGGUGUAGCGGUGAAAUGCGUAGAUAUCUGGAGGAAUACCGGUGGCGAAGGCGGCAUCCUGGACCGGCAUUGACGCUGAGGAGCGAAAGCCAGGGGAGCAAACGGG